AGCUUUGCGCAGAGGCAGUACCUCAGGCUAUGAAGGAUUUCCUGAGCCGAGGUUAUUGCUGGUUGAAAACUUUUCCCAAUACCCCGCCAUGACGACGUGAAAUACCGUCGGCUUUGGCAAUUUUUGGAAGCCCUAACCGGGC
rfam:Tetranychus urticae London genomic scaffold, scaffold_23